rnacentral:rRNA from 1 species
GACGAACGCUGGCGGCGUGCCUAAUACAUGCAAGUAGAACGCAGUUGCGAACGGGUGAGUAACGCGUAGGUAACUGCCUCAUAGCGGGGGAUAACUAUUUGAAACGAUAGCUAAUACCGCAUACUGUGAGAUGGACCUGCGUUGUAUUAGCUAGUUGGUGGGGUAAAGGCCCACCACGGCGCCGAUACAUAGCCGACCUGAGAAGGUGGUCGAGCACACUGGGAACGGGGAACGGCCCAGAAGCCUUCGGGGUGCAGCAAGAGGGGAUCAUCGGCAAAGGACGGAAGGCUGGACGAACAACGGCGCGGGAGAGAAGGAGGUUUUCGGAUCGUAAAGCUCUGUUGUGAGAGAAGCGUUAACUAACGAGAAAGGGACGGCUAACUACGUGCCAGCAGCCGCGGUAAUAC